rnacentral:rRNA from 1 species
UACGAAGGGGGCUAGCGUUGUUCGGAAUUACUGGGCGUAAAGCGCGUGUAGGCGGGUCUUUAAGUCAGGGGUGAAAUGCCAAGGCUCAACCUUGGAACUGCCUUUGAUACUGGAGACCUUGAGUCCGGGAGAGGUGAGUGGAAUUGCGAGUGUAGAGGUGAAAUUCGUAGAUAUUCGGAAGAACACCAGUGGCGAAGGCGGCUCACUGGCCCGUUACCGACGCUCAGGCGCGACAGCGUGGGGAGCAAACAGG